UUUUAUACAGCCCAAUUAAGAGUAUUAGGUUUCUCAUCGUCUUUUCAACUUCUUCUAUGCCGAUCUUCUCAGAGUGUAGAGUCAAGAACCAAAAGAUGAGUGAUACAGAGGAGGCCAGGAAUGAUCUAAGAUGACCUUUCAUACACACAGGGAGUUGGUGUCAGAUGGGUUCAAGAGAGUCGCGUAUGAUGGGUUCGUCUCGAGUUAUCAGAGACAGCUCUAUCUAUGUUUUUGCAUGUGUUCUGAUCGCUGCGCUUAGUCAUAUUCAAUUUGGUUUCACUGUCCAGUGUGAUUAUUAUUCUCCAACAGAAGCUGCGAUCACUAAGGAUCUCGGUUUAACUACUGUAUCUGAGUACUUUAUGUUUGGUUCUCUAUCCAAUGAGGGUGGUAUGGUUGGUGCAAUUGCCAGUGGUCAGAUCGCAUAAUACAUUGGAUGAAAAGGGGUCUCUGAUGAUUGCUGGUUGGUUUGCAUAUUAUUUGCAAAAGAUUCUUCAGAUAUAAUUGGUGAGCUAAGUGCAAUCAGGAGCACAAUCACCGACAGUAUACCGGGGGCCCAGCAUGUAAUGCUAACUCUGGGUCUACAAAGGGAUGUAAAUGUUUGUGUUUGUAUGUUUGAUUUUUUGGCUCUUGCAUUUCAUAAAUAUUUGAUAGCUACAAGUUUGAUUCUUUGGCUCUUGCAUUUCAUAAAUAUUUGAUAGCUACAAGAAAGAGCCUAAAAUUGUGCGUUCCACCAGCAUCAAUCCUAAGAUUGUUGGGGGCCGGUUAUUUCUGAACGCCUCUUCUGGCGCAUAUAUCUACUUUGAUUCUGAGACACCUGCAUGAAAAGAAGAGUUUGACAAAUUGACAGGCGAUGGUACAUACCAGACAACGUCUUCAUCAAAGUUGGUUCAUGCCCAAAAGUUUGAACCUCUAACUGUUGCUGAGCUUAACCAAUAUUUUAUUAUUGCUGAUCCUCAGGUAAUUGAGUAUGACUAAAGUGACCUGAAUUCAGCAAGAUUAUGGUUGGUGUUAUAUUGGCUGCUCCGGAUUUUCAAAGAAACUUUUACGAGAGAUAUCUUCCUUCACAUGUGUCACAUGUAAUGAAACUAAUGUUGUGGCUGCACUCGAGUACCGAGUGAUACUGACAGUGUCAGACGCCACUGAUAUAGCGGCUUUCCUUGGUUUUGAUAUGGAGGUGGUUAAACUGAGAAACAUUCAAGCUUCUGAGGCUACACAUAUUGUGGGGAUAGGUGUUGAUGCUCAGAUUGACACGGACCUGCCUCGGUUCCUUGCUGAGAUUUUUGGGAAUACCUACACCUUCCAGCUCAAGUUAAAGGACUUCAAUUUUACUUCAAAGCACCAAACCUUCACGGUUUCUUGCGUUUUUCCUUCGCAAGAGCUUGCACCUUCGCCAGCCUUUGUUGUAAAUGAAGGUGCACCCCUGAAGCAGCGCAGCCUGAAGUUGUAGCAACAGGAUCAGAUGCCAAAGUUGAUAAAUGAUAACACCUGCUGUGUUACAGAGGCGCCAUCAACAUCUGAUGGUUCACUUGCAGGACAUAAAGCAUCAGCCAAAGAACAAAUUGCUUUGGAUGAGAAUCCACCGUAGAACCCACGUUUGGAAUGAGUCUACUAUGAGAACUUAAUAAACAACCACGUCUUCUCUUUAUCAAAUAAUUUGUUUUGUUUCUUUCAAUUUCCUUUGAAUCUAUAUUAAAAUACUCAAUUUUCUUUAGUUCUUUUCUCAUCUUAAAACUUUCAAAUUUCUUUAGCUCU